AUUCCUACGGGGGGCAGCAGUGGGGAAUAUUGCACAAUGGGGGGAACCCUGAUGCAGCGACGCCGCGUGGGUGAAGGAGUACUUCGGUACGUAAAGCCCUAUCAGCAGGAAAGAAAAUGACGGUACCUGACUAAGAAGCCCCGGCUAACUACGUGCCAGCAGCCGCGGUAAUACGUAGGGGGCAAGCGUUAUCCGGAUUUACUGGGUGUAAAGGGAGCGUAGACGGCAUGGCAAGUCUGAAGUGAAAGCCCGGGGCUCAACCGCGGGACUGCUUUGGAAACUGUUAAGCUGGAGUGCAGGAGCGG
rnacentral:rRNA from 1 species